ACACAGCGUCGCACCCCGUCAACCAAGUUGUCGGGGAGCGGAGAUUGGCCCCCCGGGCCCUGCGGGCACGGUCGGCACAAAUGUUUGUCCCCGGCGGCGAGCGUCGCGGUCAGUGGUGGUUGUAUUUCUCAUCCUCCAAAGACAUCAAGACGCGUCGUCCUCGUUGCACGUUGGACACAUCGACCCCAAGG
rnacentral:misc_RNA from 1 species